UCGCCUAUGUAUUUGCCAUAUUCUGGGUGU
rnacentral:piRNA from 1 species